rnacentral:rRNA from 1 species
UACGGGGGGGGCAAGCGUUGUUCGGAAUUACUGGGCGUAAAGGCUCGUAGGCGGCCAACUAAGUCAGACGUGAAAUCCCUCGGCUUAACCGGGGAACUGCAUCUGAUACUGGAUGGCUUGAGUUCGGGAGAGGGGAUGUGGAAUUCCAGGUGUAGCGGUGAAAUGCGUAGAUAUCUGGAGGAAUACCGGUGGCGAAGGCGGCAUCCUGGACCGACAUUGACGCUGAGGAGCGAAAGCCAGGGGAGCAAAGCGGGAUUAAGAUGACCCCUGAGUCCCCAGACCAAG